rnacentral:lncRNA from 1 species
AUGUACUUCCUUUUCACCUUUAAUAAUUAUACACCCUUGCUGCUUUUCCUGUGUGUCUUUUUCAGUCUUCUUCAGAACAUCAAGAACCUGGGAAGAAGACCUACAAUCUGGACCUUGGAAAUGUCUGGCACAUGGAAUAGCAGGCUGAGGCCACCCGAAGUGAGACAUCACCUCCUGUCCUUACCACCAUACCUGCCUAGCUGUCGUUGUGGUGAGGUGCCAACAUGGAGCAUGUUUAUUCAGGGCAAGGGGACAUUCAGUACCACCACAGGGCAGCGUGAAGGAAAAAGUAAGCUCCAGAAGGAGGUAUCUGAAGCUUAAGGAAGCAUACCCCCCUGGAAGGAAUGGAUGUGAGCUUUCCAAUGGGAAUGUGAGGCUGGAGGUGAGGGUGAAGAAGGGCACCUUUAGAGAAAAACGAGGCUGCUGACUAUCCACUUCUGUAGAGUCACAGGACAUUCAUUCCCCAUUCAAGAGGUUUCUCCAGAAUGUUUGGUUACUUGGGGAUUUGAUACCUGAUAGUGAACAGGUAAGCAAGAUAUGCUCAGUCCAUAAAAUACUGUUGUAUAUUAUUAAAUUAGGUAUUGUAAAUAAUUUCUAGUGAAUUUAUCACUGCAACUUGCAGUUAUCCCCCUACAGAUUUGUAUGUAGUGAUCACACUAUUUGAAACUAUAUGAGUUACCAAUGGCAUAUAUACAAGCUGCAAAAUAAUCAGUAUCAUUGCCAAAAUCAUCUUACAGGACCUACAACAAAAGUUCCUCAGUUGGAAAAAAAUCAUAGAUUCUCCCCAGUAUCUUUGGCCUGAUAGUAAUUGAAGAAGCAAAAGAUUUGUGAAAGCAAUAGUUGUUUCAGUCAUGUGUAUUUUAUCCCUACAGAACUUGGUGGUAUUC